CUCGUCAAGUCCGUCAUCACCUCCCAAGCAAUUUACUCCAUCACCCCUUUGGUCGUUCCCCAAAGCACUUUGCAUAAUCUCAAUAAGAUGGAGAGGGCGUUUCUCUGGUCCGCAUCAGGCAAGACCACUGGGGCCAAGUGCAAGGUCAAUUGGGAGGUAGUAUGUCGUCCCUUGGAAUAUGGUGGUAUGGGUGUCCUCAACACUGGAAAAUUUGCGCGUGCUCUGAGACUACGGUGGCCUUGGUAUGAAUGGACAGACCCAUCCAAACUCUGGGUGGGUCUGGGCAACCCCUGUGACGAGAAUGUUGGAAAUAUGCCCUAG
rnacentral:rRNA from 1 species